GACGAACGCUGGCGGCGUGCUUAACACAUGCGAGUCGAACGGAAAGGCCUGCUUUCCCUUGUGGAUUGCGGGUACUCGAGUGGCGAACGGGUGAGUAACACGUGAGUGAUCUGCCCCCAACUUGGGUAUAAGCCUGGGAAACUGGGUCUAAUUCCCGAUAGGACUGCAGGGUGGUGCCUGUGGUGGAAAACGAUUUUCUAGUGGUUGGGGAUGAGCUCGCGGCCUAUCAGCUUGUUGGUGGGGUAAUGGCCUACCAAGGCGGCGACGGGUAGCCGGCCUGAGAGGGUGGACGGCCACAUUGGGACUGAGAUACGGCCCAGACUCCGACGGGAGGCAGCAGUGGGGAAUAUUGCACAAUGGGCGGAAGCCUGAUGCAGCGACGCCGCGUGGGGGAUGACGGCCUUCGGGUUGUAAACUCCUUUCGACCGCGAGGAAGCCACCUGGUUGGAAGGGUGGUGACGGUAGUGGUAGAAGAAGCACCGGCUAACUACGUG
rnacentral:rRNA from 1 species